UCAGUGGCGCUCAUGAAACAAGGUUUCACCUCCUGAAGGAAAAAAAAAAACAUGCCAAGAAAGUGAGGUCCAGAAAUUGAAAGACAACUCGGAAAGGCCUCCACAAACUGCCCCUCGGCUCCCUCGGGCUCGCUGCUGAACAGCGGGCGGCUGCUGCGGCCGAAGCCCAACAGGUCCAGGGCGUAAACCGGGCCGCCGCUGGAGAGAGAGUCCAGAUUUUGCGUCCACAGAGCCACGCCGCCGCCGAAGCCGUGCAGCAGGACCAGAGGGGGCCUCGGGCGGGCGGGGGACGAGGCCUGGAACGCGAUGGUCCACAGAACUUCCAGUUGAAAGUGAAGGCCUUGUUUGAACAUCCGCAUGGGACAAGCCGAAAGUCACAACGACAACAGCAAUUCCACAAUCAAGUCGACAUAAAUGGGCGUCGUUAAGGUUAAACGCUUACGACUCCUCUCCCGGCUGUCACAUGGUUCCGGUGGGAUAAUCUUAGCGUGAAGAAAGAGGCUACGGCAUCGUGAGUCAGCAGUAUUUCACCAGUUCGUCCUGAGGAGACUCGAGCACGUGAAAGCUGUGCCUGUCAUCCUCCCUGUGACGCGCUCACCCUCAUCUACCUGCCCUUUUCCCCACUCGCUCUUUAGGGACCCCCCCCCAACCGUGUGACGCCAGCUAUACGGACGGAUGGUGGGACCGGCCAGGAGACGGAAGAGCUGGGGUGCUAGGGUGUAGCUGCUGAUCCUAUACACCACAGCAGCGAGCGCAGGCAGGUUGAGGAGCCACGUCAGGUGUCACCACUCCCGACACACGAGUCCAGUUCUGCAGAACCGGGACAGCCGCGCCGCCGCCGCCGACACCCUGUCAAGGCCAGUUUUCUGCCUCGCCAGGCCGACCGGCCCGCGAGUCUGCCUUAGCCGGGGCCUCGUCUGCCCUGCCCUGCCCGCCAGCUGGCAUCCUGCAGGAGUCAUCAGGGUUAGUGCUCGGCUGGCACACCUCGCCGGCCGA